AGGCACAUAGUGUAGCGGCAGCACGGCGGUCUCCAAAACCGCAGGCGGAGGUUCGAGUCCUUCUGCGCCUGCCA
rnacentral:tRNA from 1 species